AUUGAACGCUGGCGGCAGGCCUAACACAUGCAAGUCGAACGGCAGCGGGGGGUAGCUUGCUACCUCGCCGGCGAGUGGCGGACGGGUGAGUAAUGCCUGGGGAGCUGCCCAGUCGAGGGGGAUACCAGUUGGAAACGACUGCUAAUACCGCAUCCGCCCUGAGGGGGAAAGAUGGGGAUCUUCGGACCUAUCGCGAUUGGAUGCACCCAGGUGGGAUUAGCUAGUUGGUGAGGUAACGGCUCACCAAGGCGACGAUCUCUAGCUGGUCUGAGAGGAUGACCAGCCACACUGGAACUGGGACACGGUCCAGACUCCUACGGGAGGCAGCAGUGGGGAAUAUUGCACAAUGGGGGAAACCCUGAUGCAGCCAUGCCGCGUGUGUGAAGAAGGCCUUCGGGUUGUAAAGCACUUUCAGCGGGGAGGAAGGGGAGCAAGCUAAUACCUUGUUUCAUUGACGUUACCCGCAGAAGAAGCACCGGCUAACUCCGUGCCAGCAGCCGCCGUAA
rnacentral:rRNA from 1 species